AUACAUACAUACAUACAUACAUACAUACAUACAUAUGUACAUGCAUAUGUAUUUACUAAAUAUUUACUGAGUGAAUACUGAAGGAGUUCUGGCGCUUGAUUUUUCUCUGAGAUUAUAAUUUAGUGCAUAGCACAAACCAAGAAACAUUUGCAAUAAGCACUUAGUGGUACAGUAGAUGAAAUGAAGGAGUAGUGCUGUGGGCAUGGCCUGGAAUGUGCUAUUUUUUGCUUGUGUGAGUCUAGUUGAGUAGGCCAUUCGUUCUGCAGAUUGGUGCAGAUGGGGAUUGCUUGGAUGGCAGUGCACUGUCUUCUGUUUCUGUCUUAUCACUUUCAUUUUCAUGUCCCUUUUCAGCUGUCAGAGAAUGUGAUCGACCGGAUGAAGGAGUCCUCUCCAUCUGGCUCUAAGUCUCAGCGAUAUUCCAGUGUUUAUGGUGCUUCAGGUAUGGUGGCGUUCUUAUUUUAGGGGUUUUCGUU
rnacentral:lncRNA from 1 species